CCGCGACCCCAGGUCAGGCGGGAUUACCCGCUGAGUUUAA
rnacentral:rRNA from 39 species